AUUUAUUGAAAGCAACACACCAUACUUAUAGAUAGGUUGUUUUUCGUCAUUAUGCUGUUUUGGGAGUUUCCAGUUACAAGCUUGUUUUUUCUACCUUACACAUUGCUGAAGCAGAUGUAAAUUUGAACAAGUUAUUGACUGCAUCCAACAUGGAGUAAUUUUUUACUAUCUAGCGUGGAAUCCUGGUGUUAUUUAAUGUUUUGUGUCUCUUAGUACUCCUUAUACAGUAUAUUAAAGUUAAGGUAGCAACUAAUAAUGAAAUUAUGUUGCCAGGGAACAGCAGUACGGCACUACUUUUGCCAACAGCCAUUUUAAACAUUACCAGCUUCAGAGUAACUGACAAGCACAGAAACAACAGAAAUUUACAGUGUGCAAGUUGCACAUUCACAGGAUUAUACUCCAACGUCUGAGUGAAUUUAUAAAGUUUUAGUGAAUUUAAUCCAAAUUGCCAAAAAAAAAAAAAGCUUAUGUAGAAAACAAAAAGUCAUAGCUCAGCUGUCUUAGACUGAAUUUUACAGUUUGGAUUUAAUCCUCUAAAAUUCAGAGUUUAAGGAAUAACCCUCUAAGUCUGACUUGUCAACCAACUUUUGAAAGAAGGAUGGAUAAAAGAAGUUGUUUUAAUUCAGUGUUGGAUGACUGAACGAUUAAAGGGAUUCUACAGUGCCAGGAAAACAAACACAUUUUCCUGGCACUAUAGAUUUCUCCUCUGUCAAGGUCCCCUCCCAAGGCACUGAAGGGGUUAAUAGCUCCUUCAGUCACUUACCUGGGUCCAGCGCUGAUGUCCCUCGUCGCUGGCUCAGCUUCACCCACGCUCCUCCCCCGCCGAAGUCCACCGGCAGAGGAGACCUAAUGAGCAUGGGCGGCAAUGGCCGCGCUUGCAUUAGGAUCUCCCCAUAGGAAAGUAU